rnacentral:rRNA from 1 species
CUACGGGUGGCAGCAGCCGAGGAACUUUUACAAUGCUCGAAAGAGUGAUCGAGUAAGCCAGAGUGUUUCUCUUUGAGAAACUUUUGUUUGCUGUAAAAAUGCAGACAAAUAAGGACUGGGCAAGACCGGUGCCAGCCGCCGCGGUAAUACCGGCGGUCCGAGUCGCAUCCACAUUUAUUAGGUCUAAAACAUCCGUAGCUUGUUUUAUAAGUCUCUUGUGAAAUCCUAUAUCUCAAGUAUAGGGCGUGCAAGAGAUACUAUAUUACUAGAGACUGGAAGACGCAAAGAGUAUGAUUAAGGUAACGGUAAAAUGUGUUAAUCUUAAUUAGACUAACAAUGGCGAAGGCACUUUGCGAGUACAGAUCUGACAGUGAGGGAUGAAGGCUAGGGUCGCGAAAGGGAUUAGAUACCCCCGUAGUC